AGUGAACGCUGGCGGUAGGCCUAACACAUGCAAGUCGAACGGCAGCACAGUAAGAGCUUGCUCUUACGGGUGGCGAGUGGCGGACGGGUGAGGAGUACAUCGGAAUCUACUUUUUCGUGGGGGAUAACGUAGGGAAACUUACGCUAAUACCGCAUACGACCUACGGGUGAAAGCAGGGGAUCUUCGGACCUUGCGCGAUUGAAUGAGCCGAUGUCGGAUUAGCUAGUUGGCGGGGUAAAGGCCCACCAAGGCGACGAUCCGUAGCUGGUCUGAGAGGAUGAUCAGCCACACUGGAACUGAGACACGGUCCAGACUCCUACGGGAGGCAGCAGUGGGGAAUACUGGACAAUGGGCGCAAGCCUGAUCCAGCCAUACCGCGUGGGUGAAGAAGGCCUUCGGGUUGUAAAGCCCUUUUGUUGGGAAAGAAAAGCAGCAGGUUAAUACCCCGCUGUUCUGACGGUACCCAAAGAAUAAGCACCGGCUAACUUCGUG
rnacentral:rRNA from 1 species